rnacentral:rRNA from 1 species
GACGAACGCUGGCGGCGUGCUUAACACAUGCAAGUCGAGCGGAAAGGCCCUGCUUUUGUGGGGUGCUCGAGUGGCGAACGGGUGAGUAACACGUGAGUAACCUGCCCUUGACUUUGGGAUAACUUCAGGAAACUGGGGCUAAUACCGGAUAGGAGCUCCUGCUGCAUGGUGGGGGUUGGAAAGUUUCGGCGGUUGGGGAUGGACUCGCGGCUUAUCAGCUUGUUGGUGGGGUAGUGGCUUACCAAGGCUUUGACGGGUAGCCGGCCUGAGAGGGUGACCGGCCACAUUGGGACUGAGAUACGGCCCAGACUCCUACGGGAGGCAGCAGUGGGGAAUAUUGCACAAUGGGCGGAAGCCUGAUGCAGCAACGCCGCGUGCGGGAUGACGGCCUUCGGGUUGUAAACCGCUUCCGCCUGUGACGAAGCGUGAGUGACGAUAAUGGGUAAAGAAGCACCGGCUAACUACGUG